rnacentral:rRNA from 1 species
CAAGGUCGAACGAUGAACCGCUUUCGGGCGGGGAUUAGUGGCGAACGGGUGAGUAACACGUGGGCAAUCUGCCCUGCACUCUGGGACAAGCCCUGGAAACGGGGUCUAAUACCGGAUAUGACUGUCCAUCGCAUGGUGGAUGGUGUAAAGCUCCGGCGGUGCAGGAUGAGCCCGCGGCCUAUCAGCUUGUUGGUGAGGUAGUGGCUCACCAAGGCGACGACGGGUAGCCGGCCUGAGAGGGCGACCGGCCACACUGGGACUGAGACACGGCCCAGACUCCUACGGGAGGCAGCAGUGGGGAAUAUUGCACAAUGGGCGAAAGCCUGAUGCAGCGACGCCGCGUGAGGGAUGACGGCCUUCGGGUUGUAAACCUCUUUCAGCAGGGAAGAAGCGAAAGUGACGGUACCUGCAGAAGAAGCGCCGGCUAACUACGUGCCAGCAGCCGCGGUAAUACGUAGGGCGCAAGCGUUGUCCGGAAUUAUUGGGCGUAAAGAGCUCGUAGGCGGCUUGUCACGUCGGUUGUGAAAGCCCGGGGCUUAACCCCGGGUCUGCAGUCGAUACGGGCAGGCUAGAGUUCGGUAGGGGAGAUCGGAAUUCCUGGUGUAGCGGUGAAAUGCGCAGAUAUCAGGAGGAACACCGGUGGCGAAGGCGGAUCUCUGGGCCCGAUACUGACGCUGAGGAGCGAAAGCGUGGGGAGCGAACAGGAUUAGAUACCCUGGUAGUCCACGCCGUAAACGGUGGGCACUAGGUGUGGGCAACAUUCCACGUUGUCCGUGCCGCAGCUAACGCAUUAAGUGCCCCGCCUGGGGAGUACGGCCGCAAGGCUAAAACUC